rnacentral:lncRNA from 1 species
AAAGGUUAAAAAGUUGGAAGAAAGAAUUAAAAGUUUAUACUAGGACUACAAACGAACCGAACGUUAAGCAAACAGUUUGUGAGCCAUUCGAUGGGCAGUUCAUUUGUGUUCGUUCGUUUAAUAAAUGAACGAACAAGAACACAAAAGUUUGUUCAUUUAGUCAAAUGAACAAACAUGAACAAAGGCGCGUUCGUUCAUUUAUGUUAAUUAAAGCUUGUAUGUGUUCAUUUGUUUUCAUUUGUGUCCGUGAACAUUAGUUUGUGUUCAUUACCUAAAGUUAACAAACAAACCCAAAUGAACACAAACACGUUCAUUUCCUUAACAAACGAACAUAAAAAUAAAAAUCUCGUUCGGUAAGUGUACAUGAACAGUUCAUGAACACACAUAUUUCUUAACAUGUUCGGUUCAUUUGCAGCCCUAGUUUAUACCAAUCGUAACGAGCCGGUUGACCCGAAAUACUUUUUGUACAAAAUGAUGCAUCAUUUUAAAAAAUUUAGAUUAAAUUGGUUUAGGAAAUUUUAGGCAUUAAAAUUACACUUGAGAGACUUUCAACCAUUUCCACUCUUCCCUUUCAGCCUAACUUUUUACUGUACCUGUUUGACCCGUUAAGAGAUAAAAGAUAACCAAAAUAGACCCAUAUUUUAAAAAAAUUGGGUCGUAAUUGUCACCUCUGUAAUAUAUAUGGAAAUUUGAAGUUUAUAUGGUUUUGGGAAGUGACCUCAUGACUGUUAGUGCCUGCUGCAAACUUGCGGUGAUCAUCUUUGCUCAUAAACGUUGCUGAAGUAAACCAAGUAGGUGUAAAUAUACCAAGGCUGUUUUUAGGAGGCUGCAUUGUAAAUAUAAAAAAAAACAUAUGGUAAAGAAAGUGAAAUGAAUUCGGAAAGCAUUUGCCUUCAAAACCAUAAAUAUCAAAUGUGUCACAUUACAGUAUUUGAAUACCACUAUAUGACCUUAUUUUAUGAGGUUUGAGACAUAAUAAAAGAUAAUAACAAUAAAAUAGAUUAAAAAAAAAAAAAAAAAAAAAAAAACUCACCCUCCAAAUAAGGCGUAGUUUUCGUUUUCAUCGACUUUACAGCACAAGACAUUACCAGCAGCACACACGUUCCAUGUUGUUGGAGUAUCAUCACAAGUGGAAUCCCCUAGUGAUUUUGGAAUCGUAACAGAUCUCACGGUUGUAAGCCCUUUUGUAGUGCAUGUAAGAAAGGUGCAUGACCUACUUUUAAGCACAACACAUUUGAUAAAUGAUAAGUUUACUAUACAAAUUUGAUAUUAUAUAUAACCACAAACUUUUAAGCAUAGCACAUUAUAUAAAUGAUAAGCUCACUUUACAAAUUGAUAGUAUAUAUAACCAUAACUUUUAAACUGAAACUGCAUGAACAAAAAAACAAUUACAAACAUAAUAUAUAUGAUCAAUAAUAGAUUUACUUGGUUCUUUCUGAAGAACAAAGUUUCCUUUAGAAAAUGAUUCUUGUGAAACAAAAUGAAACUAGCUACUUUUUGUAAUGCCACAUUAGAGCAGUUAGUAAUACAAACUAUUCUCAAGAACAACAAAUGUAGCAAGGCUUUUUGGUAAAUAAAAAAAAAAUAUAUAAUCUAAACAGAUACCUGGGUGAUGACUCAGAUUGCUGUUUUUUGAAUAAAUGCAAUCCAACUAUGUUGUCUUCUUGAGACUGAACAUCUGUUUGGUUGGUGGUAGCUAAUGAAACUUGAAGAUCACCAUUAAUAGGGCUAAGCAACUCAACCUGUGUUGUAAAGAAACGUGUAGUGAGGCAACUAACGAUGUAAAUACUUAAACAAGCAAGUAUUACUUGAUGACUAGGAUUUAUGAUGAUAGUACAUACUUACCGCGCCAUUUUUCCUUGCAACAGCUAACAACUGUAAGAAAAAAAAAAGAAAGAAAACUAUAUGAUUAAAAGCUCCAAACAGUAAACAGCAGUACGCAAGUGAAGAACCACUAUGUUUGUGAACAAGAUAUGUUAAGGCCCAGCCAUUUGAGCAGGCCACCAGUAAGGUUGCUCCUAAUAUGCAAGCUGUUAUAACCUAAAGUAUAUAUUGCUACCUUCCUACAUUUUAAGUACACACAAACCAAAAACAAACCCUAAGUGAUUAAUAUGAUUUCAUAUACAGACACAUGUUACUUCAAUCAAAGGUAUUGCUGAACUUCAUUAAUGAAGUACCCUUGUU